GACGAACGCUGGCGGCGUGCUUAACACAUGCAAGUCGAGCGGUAAGGCCCUUUCGGGGGUACGACGAGCGGCGAACGGGUGAGUAACACGUGGGUGACCUGCCCUCAGCUCUGGGAUAAGCCUGGGAAACCGGGUCUAAUACUGGAUAUGACUCCAUGACGCAUGUUGUGGGGUGGAAAGCCUUGUGCGGCUGAGGAUGGGCCCGCGGCCUAUCAGCUUGUUGGUGGGGUGANGGCCUACCAAGGCGACGACGGGUAGCCGGCCUGAGAGGGCGACCGGCCACACUGGGACUGAGACACGGCCCAGACUCCUACGGGAGGCAGCAGUGGGGAAUCUUGCGCAAUGGGCGAAAGCCUGACGCAGCGACGCCGCGUGGGGAGUGAAGGCUC
rnacentral:rRNA from 1 species